CGACAUCAUGGCAGAGUCUGGGCAUCAGGGGAGAGCCCUGGCUCACCUUUGUAUGGCUCUUGACAUCAGGAGGAGCUGCCUAGACAGAUUACAUUCACUGUGAUUCAUGCUGUUAUUCUUCAUUUUCUUGUCCUGCACUCUUGGGACUAUUAGAAGAUUGCAAAGGGAUGAAUGAACAUUGCUUGGA